rnacentral:misc_RNA from 1 species
GAUGAAGAACGCAGCAAAAUGCGAUAAGUAAUGUGAAUUGCAGAAUUCAGUGAAUCAUCGAAUCUUUGAACGCACAUUGCGCCCAUUAGUAUUCUAGUGGGCAUGCCUGUUCGAGCGUCAUUAAGUCCACUUAAGCCCUGCUUAGUGUUGGGAGACUGCUCCAGCGGUGCUACCCUGUAGCUACCCUGCAGCUCCUCAAAGACAGCGGCGGAGUUGUGGUAUCCUCUGAGCUUAGUAACUUGUUCUAGCUUUCGAGUACACCACUUCCCCUGCCGUAAAACCCUUAAUUUUUAAUGGUUGACCUCGGAUCAGGUAGGAAUACCCGCUGAACUUAAGCAUAUCAAUAAGCGGAGGA